GCAGCGGUGGUUCAGUGGUAGAAUUCUCGCCUUCCACGCGGGAGACCAGAGGUCUAUUCCCAGCCAGCGCA
rnacentral:tRNA from 1 species